AUUUGACAACCCUACUGGAUUAUCAUUUAUCAUCCAUCAUCCAUGGUUCUUUCUUUCGAAAAUUUUAUUGAACUGGGUUGGAUGCGUUGCUGCGAGAAAAACCAAAAAAUGAAAACGACAAAGCAUAGUUGGUCAAAUGCUUUGCAUUAUAAGAUGAAAAAAAGUUAAAAGAGCAAAAGGAUUGCUGCAGAAUUCAUGGAUUAAAAAUAGGUAUGUAUAGAAAUCAGAUGCGUGAGUUUGCAAUUUUAUGAUGAAUGUUCUAUUUCUGAAGAGUCGAGUGCCAGGUCUUCGGGCCUGGCAUUCUUUUCCUGUAGAAAGAAUAAGAACGGCCAACUGAUAAAUCAUUUCACUUAAAUAAAUGCGUUAAACAAUCGAAUGGCAAUUAAAGAAAUGGAUAUUCUCUCGUUUCUAGAUAUGAGGCUCCCUGAGGCCGCCUCAACACGUGGUCUGGUUUGCCGGCUUUGCUAAUAUGGUAGGUACUCCUUGCUGUGUAUAAUGAUUUUACAAUUUGUAUGUGAUGAUAAGUUCAAUCUGAACAGAGUAUUGUUGAUUUUCAACUUAAAAUUAAACCAAACGGAUUCUGAAAAAUAAUUUUACAAAGCAACAGAGUGAAAAUUUACAAGAAGUCUAAUUUAACCUAAAUUACUCCUCAUUUUAGGGUAAUUUUUCAACAAAGGGCAGCUUUUCAUAACCUGGGAACUGGAAAUAUAUGAUGCAGAGGUAAGUUUCUUUUUGUUAUUUUCUAGCGUCGUUUAUGUGAUGAUAAGUUCAAUCUGAACAAAGUGCUGUUGAUCACCAACUUACAAUUAAACCAAAAGGAUUCUGAAAUUUUUAUAUUAUAAAGAAAUGUGAUAAAAGCCAACCUGAAUGUGAUACUAAUCAAUUUUUUCUUUAAUUUGUAGCGCCACAUUUCAAUAUGCCGUCAAUUUAGUUGGGCGCUCGAAUCGGAAAACGUGUCGAAGGUGGGUUCCGUUACUUCUUGUUUAUAUUCAAUUACAUGAUGAUAAGUUCAAUCUGAACAAAGUGCUGUUGAUUCACAACUUAAAAUUAAACCAAAAGGAUUCUGACAAAAAAAAAGAUAGUCCUUUCCGUUUUAUAACACAUGGAAAAUGGAACUUAACCUAAUUUUUUUCUGUAUGUUUCAGAUGCAUUUGCUGAUCAGCCGCUUUUAUCGUACCGCGGAUGUGCUUUUUGGGUAAGUUUCAGCAUUGGUUGAAUAAUGUAUUAAAUUUAUAUGAUGACAGUAAUUACCGUAUGAUUUUAUUGAUUUCAAACUUCAUGGCUGCAAUUAUUGCAACUGAUUAUUUUUGGAAUCAACGAAAUCUGUGUGUUCUAGAGACAUUUUAUUAAUAAGAGCAUACAUUUUUAUUUUCAGAAAUGAUUCAACAUGAAAACGGAACUGCCAAGACACAAUUCUGGUUUUACCAUGCAUUUAAUUAAGGUAAAUAUAAAGAUGAUAUCCAUGUAGAAAUUGAUACAUUUUGAAUAUGAUGAUAGUAAUUACCGUAUGAUGUCUUUGAUUAAAACACCAUGGCUGCAAUUAUUGCAACUGAUUAUCUUUGAAAUACAUGUCAUUAUUUGCCAUGCUAGUCAUAUUUUAUACUAAUCAAUGAUUUUUCAAUUUGCAGUGAACCUCUGUUAAAAGAAGUCUGAAAUAUGAACGGCUCCAUUAGCAAGAUUCUAUAUGGAUUUCACGUACUAUCAAGCUAGGUAAGUUAAGCUGCAACAUACGUCAGACUGUAAAGCUAGUUCAAAUAUUUAUAUGAUGAAUACCUUUUAUCUAUUAACUUUCGUUCUACUGAGUAGAAAAUGCGGAGAAAUUUACCUGAUUUAACUUAGCUAUUAUAUUGAUACAAAGUCAGAGUCUAAGUGAUGUUAAUAGCCAUUUUCACGUCUUCUUUACAGUCCAAAGUCCGACAUGGCCUGAAGACUUCUCUGGAUUGUAUUGAUUCUACUGGUAUGUGUUCUAUAUCAAUCGCUUUACCUUAAAUUCUUAAAAUGAUGUUACUUCAUAGUAUAGUUCAUUAGAAUUCCACAUGUUACAACGUUUUCGAAGCUGAUAUUGUCUUCAAACAAGCUUCAGGCGUCCCACCAUAGCAAAUCUUAUUCAUUUAUUAUUUUUCUUGCAGCUCCAAUGAUUUGCUUUCCACCAGUCGGAACAGAUGUAGCCAUACAAUGUUAUAAGGAAGGUGCCGCCACGUCCAUAUCUAUUGCCUGAUAUAAAGGUAGAGUUCUGGAAACUUUCUUACGAUUUUUUUGUUGUAAAGCGUUUUAUUUGAUGAAUAUCCUAACUCAGGAUUCCCUCUUCUGAGUAGAACCCUAAACAACCAUGCUGUUCACUUUUCCCUGUCUGAACAUAAAACGCUUAACAAUAACAAUUGUUUGCAUAUUAAAUAUUUAUGAAUUUGCCUAAUGAAUUAUUUUACACUUGCAGAUUGAUCAUUACUGUAGGAUACGACACUUGCUUGAGUUCCUUUUGAAGUUUGAAGUUUGGAAAACAUAUUUAAAGGUAAGAUCAAAUUUCGGUUGAGUGAAAAUUAUACAAUUUCUUUGAUGAAUAUCCUAACUCAGGAUUCCCUCUUCUGAGUAGAACCCUAAACAACCAUGCUGUUCACUUUUCCCUGUCUGAACAUAAUACGCUACAAAAAUAUUAUUGUGUAUUUCAUAUUUUGUAUUAAACUCGAACUAUUUAUUUUAUUUGCAGGUAGCUUUAACGCAUUUUGGACUCAUAAAUACAUCAGAGAGGAGGUAAAAUAUGAUUUCAUUAAUCUUGUUGCUCUUUUGAAAUGAUGAAGAAGCCCUUAGUGGUUUUAUUUUCUUAGAAUCUCAAACAUCAUGCUGAUUUUGUCUUCUUUCCCCAACUGACACAUCAUUUCAAUCGAAUACUUGAAUACGUUUAUCAACACAAAGUUCUAAUUAUGUUAUUUCUCUCUCUCUUGCAGGUUAUUGUGUUACAGAAUAAAAUGUUGAAAAUAAAAGUUAAUUGAAAGUCAAA
rnacentral:lncRNA from 1 species